UACGUAGGGGGCCAGCGUUGUUCGGAAUUACUGGGUGUAAAGGGUUCGUAGGCGGUGCGGCAAGUUGGGAGUGAAAUCUCUGGGCUCAACCCAGAGACGGCUUCCAAAACUGCUGUGCUUGAGUGUGAGAGAGGCUCGUGGAAUUGCAGGUGUAGCGGUGAAAUGCGCAGAUAUCAGGAGGAACACCGAUGGCGAAGGCAGCUCGCUGGGACGGUACUGACGCUGAGACGCGAAAGCGUGGGGAGCAAACAGG
rnacentral:rRNA from 1 species